rnacentral:lncRNA from 10 species
CAUGGAUGAAACCUCUUUAUUCUGGAUACACAUGCCUGAAAAGACUUUCAUGUAUAAGGAGGCCCAGUCAAUGCCAGGUUUCACAGCUUUUAAUGACAGGGUAAAAGUCUUGCUUGUGGGCAAAGUUGCAAGCUACAAGUUCAAAUCCUUUGUAAUCUGACGUAGUGAGAACCCCAGAGCUUUCAAAGCUUAUAAAUAUAUACAUUCUGCUAGCGUACUGCAGGAACAAUAAGGAGCUGUGGGAUGCCCCAGCUUCUUUUGCAAGAUGCCUUCCUGAAUUGCUAUGCAAGCAAAAUGGAGAAGUACUGUUUGGAGAAUAACUUCCAGCGAACUUGAUCCAACCAAUAGAUCAAAGAGUUAUGGCAACUUUUAAGGCCUACUACCUGAGAAUGAGCUUUUCCCAGGCUAUUGCUGAAACUGAAGAAGACACCAUGAAAACAUGAUGCAAUUCUGGAAAGAGCAUAUCUAUAGCUGCACUAAAAACCUUUUUUGGGUUUGGGUAAUAUCAUCAAGGAGUAUGAAUGGCAUCUGAAGAAAGGUACUUAAGAGAUUUGCAUAACUUCAAAGACAUUGCAAAAAUCAACAAGGCUGUGGUUGAAAUUUCAAACAACUUUAAUCUGGGUUGACAUUGAGGAGAAUAAGAACCCCAAGAAAAUUUAUAGUGAAGUGUUCAGUAGAAGCUUUUGCAGACCUCAACAAGUCCUAUUAGAAGUUUCAAAACAUGGACCUCAACACCAAAUGGUUUUUAUUCAUAGAGAAGAAUGUUCAUGGUACAUUAUCAGCUUACAAGCAAAUCUAUGAUGAAAGAAAAAACAAACCAAGAAAAUCACCAUGGAGAAGUGACACCUGCAAAGAGUGACACCUCCUCAAGAAGAGCCUCAGGCAGAUGCUUCAGUAGGUGUUUCAAAAGGAGACAUUGCCAGAUGAUAGUCCAUGUGCGUUAUUGCCCUUGAAGACAGCCCAGUAAGACAAGACGUAAAGCUUGGAAGCCUUGCUGUUGUAAACCCACAGAAGAAAGCUAAAAAAUUAUGCCGAAUUAUGGAUUGCUCUUUCUACAUUUGGAAGAAAAAGAAAGUUUUUCUCAGAAAGUCUUCUCUAUAGUACCACAAAGAUGCAAGGAUUCCUCAAAUGGUAUCAGCUUCAAGUUUCAUUAAACACGG